rnacentral:rRNA from 1 species
UAGGGAAUCUUCGGCAAUGGACGAAAGUCUGACCGAGCAACGCCGCGUGAGUGAAGAAGGUUUUCGGAUCGUAAAACUCUGUUGGUAGAGAAGAACGUUGGUGAGAGUGGAAAGCUCAUCAAGUGACGGUAACUACCCAGAAAGGGACGGCUAACUACGUGCCAGCAGCCGCGGUAAUACGUAGGUCCCGAGCGUUGUCCGGAUUUAUUGGGCGUAAAGCGAGCGCAGGUGGUUUAUUAAGUCUGGUGUAAAAGGCAGUGGCUCAACCAUUGUAUGCAUUGGAAACUGGUAGACUUGAGUGCAGGAGAGGAGAGUGGAAUUCCAUGUGUAGCGGUGAAAUGCGUAGAUAUAUGGAGGAACACCGGUGGCGAAAGCGGCUCUCUGGCCUGUAACUGACACUGAGGCUCGAAAGCGUGGGGAGCAAACAGGAUUAGAUACCCUGGUAGUCCACGCCGUAAACGAUGAGUGCUAGAUGU